rnacentral:tRNA from 1 species
GCCGGAGUGGCGGAAUGGUAGACGCAGCGGACUCAAAAUCCGCCGGGCCACGGGUCUGUGGGAGUUCGAGUCUCCCCUCCGGCACCA